rnacentral:rRNA from 1 species
AUUGAACGCUGGCGGCAUGCCUUACACAUGCAAGUCGAACGGCAGCGGGGGAGAAGCUUGCUUUUCCUGCCGGCGAGUGGCGAACGGGUGAGUAAUACAUCGGAACGUGCCCUGUAGUGGGGGAUAACUAGUCGAAAGAUUAGCUAAUACCGCAUACGACCUGAGGGUGAGAGUGGGGGACCGCAAGGCCUCAUUCUAUAGGAGACGCCGAUGACUGAUUAGCUAGUUGGUGGGGUAAAGGCCUACCAAGGCGACGAUCAGUAGCUGGUCUGAGAGGACGAUCAGCCACACUGGGACUGAGACACGGCCCAGACUCCUACGGGAGGCAGCAGUGGGGAAUUUUGGACAAUGGGCGAAAGCCUGAUCCAGCAAUGCCGCGUGUGUGAAGAAGGCCUUCGGGUUGUAAAGCACUUUUGUCCGGAAAGAAAUGGCUCUGGUUAAUACCUGGGGUCGAUGACGGUACCGGAAGAAUAAGGACCGGCUAACUACGUGCCAGCCGCCGCGGUAA